rnacentral:ncRNA from 1 species
GCAGGGUUCACCCCCCGGGCCGCACUCCGGACGAGAGCACCGCCGUACCCGGUCACGACAAGACGGCGCAUG